rnacentral:lncRNA from 13 species
AAAGGGUCUUGGGUUUAUAGCUCUAGAAUUUACAUGUGAAAGGGUCUUGGGCCAUGGAGUAGGGUGGGAUACAGUGACUUAGGUGUGGGUUUGAUUGUUUAAGUAAAAACAAUGUCUUCCAGAAAGAUUCCUCCAUACCAUGCCUGCGAUCUAUAGGAGGGUGAUUAAAGGUGGUGUCAGGUCUGCCAGCCUUUACUUCUACUGAUAUGCAAUGCGGAAGUCAAGGGGAAGGUGGGCUUAGAUGCUGAAGGUGAUUAAGAGUCUCCUCCCUCAGUUCAACCAGAGGAUGACAUGGAAAGCCCAGAUCCUGCUGACGGGCUGUAUGUCAGCUCUGAUGACCACAAGAGCACAGAGUAUAGCAGAAGUUCCCAUGGAUGAUCUCCCAACCUGAGAAAACACAAUCAAUCCCAAGAAGAUCCAAACUCUCCAGGCCUAAGGUAUGAUCAAUCCCUCCAUUGAGAAAGCAGCAGAGACACAGAUGACAGUGGAGAAAGACGAGUCGGAAGAGGCAGCACCGGUAGCAAACACACUAGACAUCAGUGUCGUUGAGAGACUCACCUUUCAGUGUAGCAGGAGCUUGCUCUGAUUAGCAGAAUUGUGUCAGUCUGUCAACACCUAUACAUGGUGAUCGUCCAGUCUUAAGAGUCUAUCCUAAUUUUGUCAUUUGCCUUCCCCUCUAGGAGGGGUCCCUAACCCUAGCACUGUGGACCCAUACCAGUCAAAGGCCUGUUAGGAACCAGGCUGCACAGCAGGAGUGAGCAAGCUGGCAAUACUGGGCUCUUUGAGUUGGAGGCGGCAGUGUUAAGAAAGGUCUCUCUGAGGAGGUGACAUUUAAGCUGAGACUUGAAGAAGUGAAGGCAUCAGCCAGGCAGAUUCUGGGGGAAGCACAUUCUAGAGAGAACACAAUAGUAGUUGCCAUGGCCCUGCAAGAAGCAUGCUGGUGUGCUGGAGGAACAGCAGGUGUCUUGUGGCUGAGCCAGUAGGCAAAUGAUGUCAGCCAGUGGAGAUGCCUGCCGUGCUGUAAUCCUCACCCACUGGAGGAUAAGAAGUGACAAACAGGGUCUGGCUCUCUCCCCAGGGCUGGAGUGCAGUGGUGUGAUCUGGGCUCAUUGCAGCCUCCACCUUCUGAGUUUGAGUGAUUCUCCUGCCUCAGCUUCCAGAACAGCUGGGACCACAGGAACCUGGUCAGGUGGGCAUCAUUAUUUUCAUUUUACAAGAAUGAAGGAAACUGAAGAAGGUUCCAUACUAGCAAGAGACAGAACCCAGAUUUGAACCAUUGUUCCUGGAACUCCAAAGCUGGUGUUUUAAAGCACUCUGCUACACUAAUUAGUGCUGCUCUUGUCAUCAACAAAUAUUGACUAGGUACCAGUUACUCUACCUCACUGUGCCCCAGUUUUCUUAUUUGUAAAAUGGGAUCACAAUACAUGCUUAAUAAGUUAAGACAUGGUAAGUGCUCAGAACAGUGCCUAC